AGUGGAAUGACACUUGGCACUACAAUGUCCCAGUUAUCUUUUUCUGAAGGAGUAGGAAAACUGCAGAACUAAAUAUUGAGUCAAGCUGCGUGGGCAGAGCUCCUGUGUCAGAGCUGUGCUGACGUCACAGCCGCAGCGUGACAUCACAGGCUGUAUAUGAAAAGCCAGAGCAUCACCCAAGCUCUAUGUGUUAUUGAAAACCUCAGUAGCAUUUAUUGAAAACUUACAUGGGGUUUUCUUUUCCCAUUCCCUUAAUGUGAGGAGUUUAGCCACACAGCUAAGGGGAGAGUGUGUAGCUCAACUGCCUUGCAACACUGUGUGCUGCUCUGAAAAAAAAGGUGUCAUUGAACCCAGAGUUUGAACUCUACUGCACUUGCUGUGCCCUUCCUAAAAGUAUCUACAAAAACAAGCUCUGCAGUGCUUAACAGCUUGUUACCGAGGGACCUACUCAUGGAGUGCAUGGAAAUCCAAGUUAGUGAAAGACAUGGAAAAACAUGUUUAAACAGAUCACAGCUGAAGCUGAGACCUUAAUCUUUCUGAGACAGAAGGUAGCCAGCACAGGCUCAGCUGUUCCAUCAGGAAAGGUGGUGAAAUGAGAGCCCUCCACGAUCUGCAUGCAGCCAGUGCUUCCCUGGUACACAGCUUCUCACACAGGCAGAAGCAGAGGGGCUGAAAGAAAGACGUUGUCUUGGUGCUCAUGAGGAGUCUGUAGCGUGCUGGGUGUGAGCAAGAGCUGUGGAGUUCAGUAGAGAGUAAAUCCAUCUUGCCCCAGAGUGCUCAGUUGUCCUUCCUCAUUGUCCUCUCUCAGGGCAAGGAAGCACUACAUCCAGGUCACAGCCACCUCCAGGACUGCUGUCAGUCUGCAGAAGUAUCUCAAAAGCAUCGUGCAUCUCAUUGUCUCACAGGACCCAAGGAUAAACCACCAUGUUCUCAUGCUGUUUAAAUGCUUCUAAAAAGCCCAGAGGCAGCAGUAGCACUCCCAAGCCCCUGUGUACUUUAGACAAGUGAGCUUGCAUAGAAUUUAGGAUCCUUAAAGCAUGUUAGUUUGUUUUAGACUGUCUUGAAAAUGCUACUAUUCUGUUUGGGGAAAAAACUUAAUGUCUCCAGCAGAGAUGCAGUCUUGUGUGGCAUGACAAGGAAGCCCAGACAUGAUCUGGGGCACUGGGGCACCCAAAGCCCUUGCUCAGGUCUUUUGUAAGUAGAUGGUUUACCUUGUGUAUUUUCAAUUUCUAUUCCUUUUAGUGAUGCUAAGGCGAGAAGAGAAAUCCAUACCCUCCCCCCAAAUUUUGAAAAUACCAGCAGAAACAUUUCAGUAGCUGGUGAUGAUUUCACUGUAGAGACAGACUUGAGGGAUGAUGGCUUUUUGUUUCGUAAAAUGCUUUAACUUCCUAAAAUAGUUAUUUUUAAAAACCUGAUUCCAAACCACUUUCCUUUCUGAAACACUUUUGUAAGUGAAAUUACACGUUCAAGUUCUCUCAGUGGUUUUAGUAGAACAAAACACUUGAACCCCAGUAGCUUUUGCUAAAGGCUUUCAGAGCUACUAACAUCUAGAAAGUCUGUUUUUGCAUGGGGCUAAUUAGAGCCCAUAAAAGAAUAAGAGAAAUUAAACCCAACAAUGCAGUUCAACUGCAGUGCUAAGAUCUUGCAAUUAAACUGUGCUGUUGGUUUGUGCAUAUUAGCACAUGAAUUACUCUUUAAGUGAUAAAUGUUGAACCAAAUAAUUAUCUAAAGCUUUUGGGAAGGAAUAAUGAAUAAGGUGAGGCUGAGAA